rnacentral:rRNA from 1 species
GUCGAAUGACUUGGAAAAGUCAGUCAAAGAGGGUAAAAACCCCGUAGACGAAAUGUGGAAGACACCUAGGAGGAUCCUGAGUACGGCGGAACACGAGAAAUUCCGUCGGAAUCCGGGAGGACCAUCUCCCAAGGCUAAAUACUCCCUAGUGACCGAUAGUGAACCAGUACCGUGAGGGAAAGGUGAAAAGCACCCCGGAAGGGGAGUGAAAUAGAACCUGAAACCGUGUGCCUACAACAAGUCAAAGCCCGUUAAUGGGUGAUGGCGUGCCUUUUGUAGAAUGAACCGGCGAGUUACGAUUGCAUGCGAGGUUAAGUUGAAGAGACGGAGCCGCAGCGAAAGCGAGUCUGAAUAGGGCGUUUGAGUAUGUAGUCGUAGACCCGAAACCAUGUGAUCUACCCAUGUCCAGGUUGAAGGUGCGGUAAAACGCACUGGAGGACCGAACCCACGUACGUUGAAAAGUGCGGGGAUGAGGUGUGGGUAGCGGAGAAAUUCCAAACGAACUUGGAGAUAGCUGGUUCUCUCCGAAAUAGCUUUAGGGCUAGCCUCGGAAUUGAGAAUGAUGGAGGUAGAGCACUGUUUGGACUAGGGGCCCAUCUCGGGUUACCGAAUUCAGAUAAACUCCGAAUGCCAUUCAUUCAUAUCCGGGAGUCAGACUGUGAGUGAUAAGAUCCAUAGUCGAAAGGGAAACAGCC